GACGUAGGGCGCGAGCGUUGUCCGGAUUUAUUGGGCGUAAAGAGCUCGUAGGCGGCUCGUUGCGUCGGCUGUGAAAACCCGCAGCUCAACUGUGGGCUUGCAGCUGAUACGGGCGGGCUGGAGUUCGGUAGGGGAGACUGGAAUUCCUGGUGUAGCGGUGAAAUGCGCAGAUAUCAGGAGGAACACCGGUGGCGAAGGCGGGUCUCUGGGACGGUACUGACGCUGAGACGCGAAAGCGUGGGGAGCGAACAGG
rnacentral:rRNA from 1 species